AAAAUAUUUACUCUCUCAUUUCUUCCAGAUACACCCUAUCUUCCUAUUGCCCCGACUUCAUGUUUUAUUGAUUUAUUUUAUUAAUAACCCAUGAGUCCCGUUUGUGUUGCCAUAUACUCCUAGGUGUGCAGGCAUCCCUGAAGCAUGGUUGACCAACCAGGGGCUGUACCCUUAAGGAACCUGAUUCUCCCUCAUCCAGAAGUCAUCAACUGUCUAUGGCUCCCCAAAUAGGGAUGGGCGCUUGCAGACUCCUUCCCCUCACAUGCUAGAAUGAUGGUUGGCUUGUUUAUCAUAUAGGUUUAAACUCUACACAAGAUGGAUUCUCCAGGACUCCUGCAGGCUCCUACAUUCUGGGUACAGACGUGUGUUCUUAUCUACUGGGAUGGGUGGUUGACUUCAGGGGGUUGGGGCUCACAGUUGUCACUGGCAUGGAAUGGUAUGAAUGCUGUACCCUGGAAGAGUAAUGGUUCUGUUACCGUUUGCUUCAUGCAGGGCCGUGGGUAGCAUUGCUGGGUGUUCUCAUCUGUCUGUAGUAAUACUAGCAUGAAGUAACCUUGACAUAUGAGACGCUUGCCCAAGCAGCACCCAUUCUUGCAGAAGUACAGAGGGAGAAGUGCCAGUCUUGGGCCAGGGUGAAGUGUGUAGUUACUGAAAACCUAAUGGUUACUUUCUUUUGUAAUUAAAACUUCAAACUGCCUUCUUCAAACUGCCCUCCAGGUAAGGGGAAUGGAUUCCCCUGUGUCCAAGGGAGAUGAACCUUUCACAAUCUACGACCUGUAGACAAACCGAACAUGGGAAGAAUAUCAUAGUGGGCUGCUUCUUGCUCUAUCCUGGUGCCCUGUGGUGGAUGGGGGACAGCCUGAAGGUGCUGGGUCUCUGGGGACAGACAUUCACAUUGCUGCAUUGCUGAGAAGAUGCCUUGGUCUGGAAGAGCAUCCCAACUGGACAGGCUCUGCUAAGAGCGCUGUGUGGUUUCUAGCCUGCAGGAGGUACGGGUGGCAAACAUUUUUUGUGCCUUGAAUCUGGGUACAUGAAGCAUCUGCUGCGAGCCAGGUAUUUGAGAGGACUCUUGUUUCUAAUGCACCCCGGAUGUUUGUCCUGACUGAAAGCACAGCAGCUUUGUCUGCACCCCUUCCAAGUGUGCAAAGCCAGGUUCUCCACGAUCAGGUGCUCAUUCUGCUGUUUCCCAUUUUCUGCAGAGUCUCCAGUUUGCCUUGGUCCCCCACUGUUCCUCUUUCAUCAGAAUGACCAAAGCCUGGUCCUUACCACUGCACACUCUAGUUGCUCUAAUUAAACAUUCGAGACCCACCAGGGCAACUCCCUUGCAAUCCUUGCCAUCUUCCAGCUCAUUCUGUUCUUGUCUCUUGGUGGGAAUGCACAGAGACAAUUCAGGGAGGGGAGAGGUCACAGUGACAUUAAGUUGAACUGGGAUAGAUUGGGUUCAGACCUCCUUGAGUACCAGGAACCCUCACCUCAGGAGUCCUUACCUGAUUUCUGCACGGUGCCAAUAGAUGGACUGGAUCAAUGCUCUCCUAGUGACAUGAGUGACCCUCGCUCUGGAACUCAUGGGAAAUGCUAGUUCUGAGUAGGCACCAGAGCACACAGUAGCUGUGUCUUAGCAUGCCUGGGGAAGUGAGAGAGUUCCCAAAGUUCGAGGCCUGGUUAAAAUGAAUGCAAAGCCUCCUUUGAAAGGGACAGCUUAUGCCUAUUGCCUUGACUUGUGGGAUGGCCAAUAGGCAAGGGGGGCGGGGCUUACCCAGAGGAAACAAAACACACAGUCACCCUGGAAGCCGCUUCCAGGCUUCACAGAGUAUGGCAUUACUUGGAUUGUGUUCCACAUUAUUCCCCCACCCCCAACCUCCAGCAAAAGCUGACAGGAGACCCGUGGGAAGGCCCUGAUGUCCCUGAAGAGCUGUUCUUGUCCUGAACAGUCCUUGAAAAGGCUUCCUAAGGCAGCACCUGGAGAGCAGGGCAGACGGCAGCUUUGAGCCCGUCAGAGCAGAUACAGUUUCUCCAUUCGUUCCUGGCACAAUUGGAUUUUCCUUGCUACAUCAAGGCACGUGAAGAUCGCUGGUACUUAGGAAGUGGGACCUCCAACCCAGGAGAAGAUUCUAGAAAGUGUGGCAUAGGCUGAGCAUAUGUGAAGGGGAAUGUGUACUCUGCAUUGGGAACCAUGCCAAGUGCCCGUGUUAUAGUCUGGAUAUAAAAUGGUCCACUGGAGGCUUGAGACAUGGCCCAGAGGCUACUAGUGCCUGCCGCUGUUGUAGAAGAAAUAGGUUCAAUCCCUGGAACUUACAAUGGCUUGUAACUCUUGGAGAUGUGAUACCUUCUUCUGGCCUUUGAUUUCUCUAUAUAGCCCUGGCUGUCCUGGAACAGGCUGUGGAGACCUGCGGAGACCAUCUUGGCCUUGAACUCAGAGACCACUGCCACACACUACCACAAAAACAUACAUCUUUCACAAAAGGUUUGUGUGCAGAAGGUUUGGUCUCCAGGUGAGUUAUGACUGGAGCACAGUAACAUCUACUCCAUCAACUGAUUACAUCACUGGUGAGCUCUUAGCAAGUGGACAUAAUGUCUGGUUGGAGGAAGUGUUCACCAGAAGUCACCUUUCUACCCAUGCACAGUACUACCCUGCAAACUCUUUUUUGAUGUUGUUAUUAAUUAUUAUUAUUAUUAUAUUUUUAAUUAGCUUGUAAAAUGGCAUAUUUUCUACUGCCCUCUUUUCCCUGAUAAAGGAAGCAGAUGUGCCUCUGAAAGGUGUACAUUGGUUCUGGCUUCUCUCUGUCUGGGUCUCUGUCUGUCUGUCUGUCUUGGACAUGUGAAGAGCUUCUUUGUCCCAGUAAUAUUCCCAUGACUAUGGUGUGCUGCCUUGCUACAGGCCUCCAGUGGUAGAACAAAGAAACCAUGGAUUUAUACGAUGGAAAUUGUGAGCCAUAAGAAACCUUCCUUCUUUUUAAGUUGAUUUCUCAGGCAUUUUGUCAUAGUGAUGGAAGUCUGGUUAACUCAGCUGACAAACAUGUUCUGAAAAGUCAUAUGCAGCCCACUAUUUUGCAAGCAAAUUAAAAAUAUAACAACAACAACAACAACAACAACAACAACAACAUUAACGACAGAAGAGUUUUUAGGGACGUACUCUGCAGGAGUAGAUGCUGUUGCUCCCAGAAGCCACCAGUUAUUAAACAAAAUUCAUAGCUUUGGCAUGAUAAUGCUUUAUGAAAUUGUUGAUCAGGGAGGCCCUCAAGGCCCACAAUACAGUCUCUUGGUAAUGCCCUAUGUUGCCCACUGGCAUUAGAUAAGGAGAUCUUAUUGCUGACGUUAACAUAUGCUCUAUUCAGGAUAGAGAAACAUCAAGCAGAAGCUGAACUAGAAACUCCCUCCUUUCUGGUUAGCUUUCAUGACACCAGAAGGUGUGAUGUAGGCUGCAGAGUAAGAAAAGCUGUCAGCCUCUCUCUCCGCUGUCAUCCCUAGGAGCUACAAUACCAUCCCACCAGGCAGGAUGUGCCCACUUGUAUGCUAGUAUCAUGCACACACUCCUUCCUCCCCUCAAAUGUGAUAUUCACAACUGGUCUUUUAAUUCUGUAAUCUAAAUACUCAGUAUGGGACCUCCAGGCUGAUGGAUGUGAGCCUAUUUCUCCCUCAGUUGUUUGGACUUAGCUUGUUUAUAUUUGAUCUUGGCUUUGCCUUUUUAACUGCAUUAUGCAAUUACAUCCUGUCUACUCUAUCUUCUCCAUUGUUAACUGUUCAUACUUGGGUUGUGGUGUAUUUCAAAUUCAAGUGGCAUUCCUGGCUAUAUUUAAAACACACAAUAUGUUAUUUAGGAGGAACAGAGACAAAAGAGUAGAUAUUUUAUUUAUCCUUCUAAUUUAAAUUUUUAUUGUUUUGAGAAUUUCAUACAUGAGAACAAUAUUUAUAUCAUUGUAUCCUUACUUCGCUCACAUCAGCAAAGGUCACUGGAAGCAUCAAUUACUUAUGAUUGUCCCUACGCUUCCACUUCCUCUCCUUCUGUCACUUUUCUUCUAUAAUAUAAUGGGGAGCCCAGACUGUGGGGUUCCAGGUUCACCCAUAAUCAGCUACUUCCAGUUUUCAUCACGGCUUCCCCUUAAGGAUCCCAACUCAAUUCCCUGCCUUACUGUUCGGUGCUUCACCAGAAAUGGAUGCCCAGCCCCACAAAAGGAGGUCACCACUGUGUAUGUCAUGGGGAGGCAGAGCUAUUUUGUAGACUCAUAACUCUUAGUGAGAAAGAAAAAUCAGGUCAUCUUGCUCUUUAAAGACUGCUGAUCUGGAUGCAAAAUUCAGAUGUCAAAGAAUCAAUUCAAUGACUUCAAGGAGAUGCCAAUAAAGCUUAACUUAGGAUAAGAUUCCUCCAGCCAAAACAGCAGCGUCCCAGAAGCAUCCCCUGACAAGGAUCCAGACCAUCAGCAGUGGUCGAAGCAGGGAGAAGUACACUGGAUGGGACAGUCAUUAGGAGAGCGGGCACUUGUAGAAGUGACAUGAACAGAGGGACAGCACUGGGGAACACAUAAGGACAUGGAGUGAAGCCCCGAGAAGCAGGGCAGAGGUGGAGGAAGCUGAAUGAGUAGAGGUGAAGUGAGCUGGUUGACCCUUGAGUGGUAGAGGAGAUAGACUUGGGUGGGACUUUCAGGUACAGAGAAAUGCCAUGGUGAGGGGUAGCGGAUUGGGAACAUGAUGAGCACAUUUGGAGAUUAGGAUUUCAGGUUCAAAGUCACUUUACCUUGGGAGUCUGUUUUUUAAUAUGGCCACAGAUGACUUAAUGAUAAGGACCCCUGUGAAGUGAGUCAUCAGGCAGUUUCUGUCACCCGGCAGAUUUCACAGAACAUACUCCAGUACAGACAGAACAGCACUGCUUGGCUUGUCUUCUUGGCCUCAUACCUUGCUGGGAGGCUGCACACUGGGGUAUUGUGGGAUUUAGCAAUGGCUGAACAAGGUUUAUUUAUUUUUUGAAAAAUGAGCCUUGUUGAAACAAAAAUCUGCUUUUAAUUAUAGCUCAUUUGACCGCAGUCCUGUGGAGUAGGACUCUGGGCAGUGGGUGCUGAGCUGUGUCGAGUGUUAGGAGAGCUGGGUUCUAGGUCUGUGGGAUGCUGACCCCUGACCAACCAUUAUUUCCUCUCUGCAGCCUCAAUUUUCUUGUCUGGAUGUGCAUGGGUUUGGAUCACCCCCUGGGUGCUCUGUAGCCCUUGUUCUUUCCCAUGAUGGGAUUCUAGCAGGUUCUACUUCAUCAAUCUUCUGCUGCCCUGGAAAGCCAGUGGUGGCUGAGAAAAAUCUUUCUGUCUUUGCUUCUUUUCUAUGCUUAGAACACCCUUCACUCCUUGUCUUCUUGGAGUCUGCUUCUUCACCCAGAAGGACUGAACUUCAGAGCUCCUGGAAGGCUACACCUUCUGAGAUCCUCUAUGACCUGGGCACAGUAGGAUGGAGGGGUGACAUCCAGAAGAGAUACUUCUAAGGGGCCGAGGAGGAUUCUCAAAGCAAGUCUCAUCUUCUCUCAGCAAGGAGAAAAACAAGGAAACAAAAGCAUCUCUAGGAAAGACCGGCACAUGCAGUGUGUGACAAGCUGUGCGAUGCCACUUCACUGAGAUCAAUGCUGAGGAAAGAACAGUUUGUACCUUGUGAAGUUAGAAAACCAUCAGACAGAUGACUGUCCUCAGGCAGAGGACAAUUACCUAAAGCUGGCUGGCAGGAGUCCUGCACUACGGAAUGAAGAUCCCGUGCAAAAGAAAUGCUGGGGCUCGAGAACAAUGAAUGGACAGAGGAGGGUGGUUCCUGGGAUCUCUCUUCUAUCCAUUUGUUCCAAGGGCACCUGAGUUCUCAGAGUUCUCUAAGUUCUAAUGUGGCAAGGGUGUGUCCAACCUUGUUGAUUGUUUUUAGAAAAGGCACAAAGAGUCAUUUGUACUUUGGUCUUUGGGUCAGGAGUCUUCAGGUCCAACAUUUUGUUAGGUCUGAUAGACUUCUAGGACUGGCUGGGCUCAGAAGCAAUUAUACACUAUUAUUAUUAUAGGAAGAAAGGGUGUGAGAAACUAUGAAGAAUUAGGCAUAGAUAUUUAAUUCCCCAGUAACACUGGGGAAUGUAAGGCAUGCAUGUAAGGCAUGACUGAGCAGAUGUUUCUAUAAGUAUUAGUGCCCAUGUAAUGCCUGUGUGACUAACACCAGCCUCUUAAAGCUGGAUUCUUGCUGAUUGAAUUGGUACAACAUUGACUGAGACUCAAGGGCUCAAACAAGCCAAUAUGUGUUUACAAGGUAGAACUUUCUAAGGAUGUAGUUCUCCCAGGGGAUGGCCAUUGGUCAGUCCUGGUUCCAGAGGUUUACCAGGAAUGUCUAGGGUUUGAGUAACCCAGAUCUGUUGACUGAAGUUCCCAUCCAUUUUUCCUUUGUAUUUUAGGAUUAAUUUGUCACAUUCCACAAAAUACCCUUGUUGGAAUUCAUAUGUUGAAUAUAGAAAAAUAAUCAGGAUGAAAUGCUUUUCUUUUUGAUAAUGAUUUUUUUCGUGUUAUUUUCUAUUUGUAAAGUGCUUUAUAUCCUGUAGAAUGUUUACAAAUGCUUUAAUAAAGUCUUAUCCAUCUUCUCUUUGAUUAUUUCCGCACAUUUGUUAAACUUGGUCCACAAACAUUUUGGCUGUCAUUGUAUUCUCUAGUCCACAGCAGAGGGUAUAGGGGACUAUUAUUAUUUUUUGUAUAUUGGACUUGUAGCCAACAACCCUCUUGGUCUUCCUUUACAGCUUUAUUGUCUAUAAAUUCUUCCUGGAAAUUUCUUUAGAAAAUGUAUUGGUUUCAUAUGGCAACAGUAAGAAAAUACUAUAUAUUUAGUGGCUUAAAAGGACAUAAGUCUCCUCUCUUAUGGUUUUGGAGGCUGUAUCAAAUUGUUCUCACUGGGCUGCAUGCAUAGCAGGGCUCUUAGAGAAUCUGUAAUCUGUGUACUUGUCUAGCUUAUAAAAACUACCAGAAUUCUUUGGCUCUUGAUCCCUGGCUCAUAUCACUCCAGCUUCUUGUUCUUUUGGUUUCAUAGCCCUCUUGUCAGUGCCCAUGAUUACAAUGGGUCAGAUCAAGCCUAUGAUAACUCAGACUAAUGGUUCAAAGUGGAAACUCUUGACUUUAUCAAAGUGGCAGCAUGAUUAACUGGCAAAGUAAUUAUCAUGGACUUUGGGAAUUAGGGUAUGGAUAUCUUGGGUAACCAUUUUUCAUUACACAAUCACAUUGUUUAUAAAAAAAGGUGUUUUCACUUUUAAAUUCAUAUACCUUUUAUUUCUUGUCUGGAUUGUUAGGAUUAUUAAAGACUCUCAAUACAUAUCCAGUAGACACUGACUUAGUAAGCCUUUAUUCUGACUUCCAUGGUAGUAUUUGUAAUAUUUCUCCAUCAUAUUUCUGUUUGCUGUGGUGUUGGCUGGUAUUAAAUCAGUGUUACAAGAUGUGUUGUUACGACUUCACGAUGCCGAUUUUGUGGUGUUUAUGUUCUCUGAGUAGCUUCAGACUUGUUUAAUCACCCACUGCUGCUUAAUAGCUUAAAUGCUGGUGUGGGCACCCUCACCUUACACGCUCAUCUGCUGAGGUUGGCCUGGCUAGCUAAUCUGGGCUGGGGCCACUCCUACCAUUUAGUUGCUCCAUUGAUAAUACGGAAUGGUUCAGUCUGAUGUCAGCUGCAUUUCUGCCUGUGAGCUGCUCUCCCUUGUCCUCCAUGUAGCCUCUUGGGGAGGAUGGCUCACAUUUCCAACAUUAAGGCAGUGUGUUACAAGACAGAAAACCUGUAACAGCCUCUCUGUAGCUUUCAUUAUAUCUACUGAUGUCUUUUGGGCCAAAGCAAGACACAAGACCACCCUGAGCUAAUCUGGAAGGGUUGCAUAGGAUUGUUAGAUUUCAACAAUGGCUAAGAGUACCUCCUAUGUGGGCUUUGGUGUCUGCCUUGCCAUGCAUAUUACCUUCAAAUCGCUGCCUUCCCACACCUUUUCACCGUACAGCCCCUUCGCUGGUGGACGUAGAAGGAAUGUGGUGAAACACCUAGUUUUCAGAGUUAGCUCUGGGGAGAAAUCUCAAUAUUGGUUCUCAAAUAUGGCCACAAGCCUCUAUCCCAAACACAAUGCCAUUUUAGUUUUAGUAUUGUUCAUGAUAACCGUUUUCAGGCAAAGGAGAGCUUUGCAGACCCUUCUGUCUUGGUUCCCUCUAGCCUCCUUUUCACCACUCUCUACUUCACCAAACAGACAGGUGAUCUUUUCUUUAUUAUUGUUUCCAAAUUGAAAGUGUGUAAUAUCAUUCUGUCCUUUGCUCUGUUUUAGUUUCUCCCUCUCUCCUACCCUUCCUGACUCCCUCCUUGCAGCUCUGCCCUUUGUAAUUUUUAGCAUUCUUAUUAUAGGCUAAGAUUAUAAAGAAGGGAUGCUUAUAUAUCCUUCAUUCUCAAGUGUGGUUGAGUUUAUGUGCUAUUCAGGAAGCCCUGGGUACUUUAGUGAUGAACAGAGCAGAGGACACUUAUGAGCAACUGUGGAGUAGUUAAAAUGAUGGAUAGAGAAAUAUGGGGUAGUGUUCAGCCUCUGGUCAGGUCACUGAGGAGAAAGAAAGGAGUAAUUAAAGUGGCUGGAUAAUGUGUCUCACUGAGAAAAAGCCUCUGCAGGCUCUGAGCAGUCAGCAGGGAUGGGGCUGAGGGAAGGGAAGAGGUGAUCUGGAGAUGGCUCAUUAGCAUGGAAAUGAAAGAAGAGGUGAGACACUGAAUAUCAACAGAAGGAGGGAUCAGGUCAAGUGCAGCCAGAGAAGGUCCCACUAUCCAGGGAGUAAUUUGCACUUCUUAGGCUCCAAUUUCAGGGCAGAAUGGGAAUCCCUCCUCUACUGACUCCUCUGUUGCUAGUGAUAAUUUCUCUACCAUCAUUCUGAACAUUGAGAAUAGAAAAUGACUAUCAUAUUUGGAAUUAGCUGUUCCUUCCCCAAAAUAUCUGGAUGAGUCACAGGGAACUUUCCCCUCAGCCUAUUAGGUCAGACAGGACUCUCUCUCACUGUCAGAGAUGGGUGUGGUCCCUGCUUGU
rnacentral:sRNA from 1 species